AUUGAACGCUGGCGGCAUGCCUUACACAUGCAAGUCGAACGGUAACAGGUCUUCGGAUGCUGACGAGUGGCGAACGGGUGAGUAAUACAUCGGAACGUGCCUAGUAGUGGGGGAUAACUACUCGAAAGAGUGGCUAAUACCGCAUGAGAUCUACGGAUGAAAGGAGGGGAUCGCAAGACCUUGUACCAAUAGAGCGGCCGAUGGCAGAUUAGGUAGUUGGUGGGAUAAAAGCUUACCAAGCCGACGAUCUGUAGCUGGUCUGAGAGGACGAUCAGCCACACUGGGACUGAGACACGGCCCAGACUCCUACGGGAGGCAGCAGUGGGGAAUUUUGGACAAUGGGCGAAAGCCUGAUCCAGCAAUGCCGCGUGCAGGAUGAAGGCCUUCGGGUUGUAAACUGCUUUUGUACGGAACGAAAAGCCCCGGGUUAAUACCCUGGGGUCAUGACGGUACCGUAAGAAUAAGCACCGGCUAACUACGUGCCAGCCGCCGCCGUAA
rnacentral:rRNA from 1 species